rnacentral:rRNA from 1 species
GAUGAACGCUGGCGGCGUGCCUAAUACAUACAAGUCGAGCGAACAGAUGAGGAGCUUGCUCCUCUGACGUUAGCGGCGGACGGGUGAGUAACACGUGGAUAACCUACCUAUAAGACUGGGAUAACUACGGGAAACCGGAGCUAAUACCGGAUAAUAUAUUGAACCGCAUGGUUCAAUAGUGAAAGACGGUUUUGCUGUCACUUAUAGAUGGAUCCGCGCCGCAUUAGCUAGUUGGUAAGGUAACGGCUUACCAAGGCAACGAUGCGUAGCCGACCUGAGAGGGUGAUCGGCCACACUGGAACUGAGACACGGUCCAGACUCCUACGGGAGGCAGCAGUAGGGAAUCUUCCGCAAUGGGCGAAAGCCUGACGGAGCAACGCCGCGUGAGCGAUGAAGGUCUUCGGAUCGUAAAACUCUGUUAUUAGGGAAGAACAAAUGUGUAAGUAACUAUGCACGUCUUGACGGUACCUAAUCAGAAAGCCACGGCUAACUACGUG